GCUAGCAUCUUGCAAACCAAGCUUUGCAGCCUCUUCCUGCAACACAGCCCUGACACACAAGCACAGCUUGAUUCCUUUCAUUUCAUGCAAAAGCCAUACGCCUUGGGAGAAUUGCACGCUAACUAUAUAGCAGAUUUCAGAAGAUUUUGUUUUGAAGCCCACUGGCAGAAAUAUACCUAAGAUAUGACCUACAACCUUAAGCUCUUCAAAAGGGGUUAGCAGGCCAGAGAAGUGAAAAAGACAGAUGAGUUCCCAGGAGAGUUAACAUGCACCAGAGGAUCCUGACUGCCUCAAGAGUAGCUCAUUACUUUCACAGACAGUUAUGCUUUUUGGUAGCUUUCUAGCAAUGCAAUUCCCCAUCCUCAAACGCCAAGAAAUAUGAGGAAACUGCUAAAGGCUGCUAGAAAACUUACAAGCUCAGCUCUGAGCACAAGUGAAUUGAGAUCCUCAUCAACCCAGGGAAUGUUCCAACCAUCUGUAAAGGAAGCAAGAAAGGACGGGGAUCAACAGGAAAGAGAUAACAAACAAGAAAAAUUCAGAGAUCACAACACUAUAGAACAGUCCAAAGCCUAAACUUGCAACCAACGUAUCUUAAAAUAUGCAUAACGGAGGACUUCAUGACCUGAACAAAGGAAUAAAAAUCUGAGCUCAAGGAAUCUGCUCUGAAAUCAGUGCCAAAGGCAUGAAAAGCUGCAACAGGAAAGGCAAAUAUGGCUAGG